rnacentral:rRNA from 1 species
UACGUAGGGGGCGAGCGUUGUCCGGAUUUAUUGGGCGUAAAGAGCUCGUAGGCGGCUUAGCAAGUCGGGUGUGAAAACUCCAGGCUCAACCUGGAGACGCCACUCGAGACUGCUAUGGCUAGAGUCCGGUAGGGGACCACGGAAUUCCUGGUGUAGCGGUGAAAUGCGUAGAUAUCAGGAGGAACACCGGUGGCGAAGGCGGCUAUCUGGACAGAGUCUGACGCUGAGGCGCGAAAGCUAGGGGAGCAAACAGG